UUAUAAUCCAAGAAACCCGUAGCAACGAAGAUAGAUAUUUGUUUAGUUUUUCUUUCAUAUAUUCAUAUACUCUGUGUAGCCUUCCAUGGCAAUAUUUUCUUGUGGGACUCGGUGGUUUGACUUGCAUGUGAUUGGGAGCCGUAGAUACACUAAAAAGAUACAUGCUGCGCCGGCGGGCAGCAUGCAGGCAGAUCUCAGCAUGAAGAUUAACAGAAGGCCCUGGCUGGUCUUCAUGUUUGUAUAAGUAACCAGCGUGUACUGUAUCAUAUCAUGUAUAGUACUCCCCCUCUCACACUUGUUAUGGAUCGAGGGGAGUAGUGUUUGCCUUCUUUUUUUGCUCUACCCUCUGGAAGAACGUCCAUGUGUAACAACAAUCUCCAGGUGUUACGAGAGUUUUCUCGUUGCUGGAGUUUAUUUUCCGCCACAGUGUUGUUGAAAUUGUUGGGGUCGUUCCACUUUGGCA